UGUGUGUGUGUGUGUUUUUAUUGGCAUUUAUUUGUAUAGUGCUCUCUGACCAAUAUAAUUAUUAUUUACUAGUAUAGAAUGGCUGUGCGUCUUCUUAUGAUAAUAUAUGUUUGCACACAAUUCAUGUGCUUGCUACAUUAGUAAUCAAUCAUGUCUUCUUAUAGCGUGCUAAUACCAUGCAUGGAAAUUGGGUUUGGUCAAAUUUGAGUUCCAUUUAAUUUGUGUUCUCAGGUUUUCAUGGGUUAAGUCUUUUAACUCUGUAGUUGAGGUUAUGAUCAACCCAAAAGUUUGACCUUAGAAAAAUUAUUAUACUGAUAUUAA
rnacentral:misc_RNA from 1 species